rnacentral:rRNA from 1 species
UACGUAGGUGGCAAGCGUUGUCCGGAUUUAUUGGGUUUAAAGGGUGCGUAGGCGGUUCCAUAAGUCAGUGGUGAAAUACGGUAGCUCAACUGUCGAGGUGCCAUUGAUACUGCGGAACUUGAGUACUGAUGAGGUAGGCGGAAUUGACGGUGUAGCGGUGAAAUGCUUAGAUAUCGUCAAGAACACCGAUAGCGAAGGCAGCUUACCAAGCAGUAACUGACGCUGAGGCACGAAAGUGCGGGGAUCAAACAGG